CAUUUCCUAGCAAUGAUUAAUAAUUAUAUCAUGUUGAAAUCAUUUAUAGACCAAAUAUUACUGAAACUGCAAAAAAGUAUAAGAUGGAUAGAUAUAAUGUAUCAUUCUAUCUAGUACAAUGAACAAAUGUUCUUCCGAUGCCAUUUUCACUAAGGUAUUGGUAUUGAAUCCUGAUGUACUACUAAAAAUGUAUGUCGGUUAGCAAUAAUAAUUCAACAAAUCCUCAUAUUCAAGCUGGGUCAUCACUAAGUGGAAUUAUUUGUGGACAUAUAACAGAAAAAUGCAUUUCAUGCCUCUAUAUUGCUUUAACAGGAAUCCCAGCUUUUUGUAUGAACAAAAUUCCCUGAUUUUUCCCUGAUGGAAAAUAAAACUUCCAGGAUCAUGAUUUUGACCUAUUUCUUGUUUUAGACACCCUGAAUAAAUAGCAGUUGCAGACAUAACUAAGCUACACGUAUACUACAAAGUCACGAUAGAUAUGCAGAGGAAAUGAUUUGCUGUUUAAAUUGUAUGGACUUCUCGACACAAGUCGGGAAAGUCUGACCAAACAAAAUUCCCUGAUUUUUCCCUGAUUUCACAAACUUUCCAAAUUCCCUGACUGGAAAAAAAGAGUCUUUUUCCAGUUUUCCCUGAUUUCCAGGUUGGCUGGGAACCAUGUUUAACUUUGAUAAAAUGUUCUUUAGAUGCCAUGUGUAUUAAUUUAUAUGUCUUUUUUUCUGAGAUAUUAAUGAAAAUGCCUGUGGGUAUGUGGCGAAUACUAGUAUUAAAAAAAUCUGCAACUUGAUAUAUGGUGUUAACACGGUAAAAUUGUAUGAGCCCAAAUUAUAAUAGAUGAAUGCGUAUUAUGCUUCUAUGCUUAUACUAUGAGGACAUGUUCAUACAAUGCCAUUUUUAUUAAUAUAGAUGCCAAAUUUAAUGAAACAGACUUGAAAAUGUGUGUUGCCAGAUACCAAGUAAGAAAAAAAAUCAGCAUUUUUAUGUAGGGCUUUCACACAGUAAAAUUGUUUGUGCCCAAAUAAUCAUAGAUGAAUGCAUAUUAGGCUUCAAUGUUGCUUAUACUUUGACUACUGGUUCAUACGAUGCCAUUUUUAUAAAUAUCUAUGCCAAAUUUAAUGAAAUAGACUUGAAAAUGUGUGUCGCCAGGUACCAAGUAAGAACAAAAUCAGCAUUUUUAUGUAGGGUCUUCAUACGGUAAAAUUAUUUGUGCCCAAAUAAUAAUAGAUGAAUGUAUAUUAGGCUUCAAUGUUGCUUAUAUACUAUGACGACAUGUUCAUACGAUGCCAUUUUUGUUAAUAUAUAUGCCAAAUGUAAUGAAAUAGACUUGAAAAUGUGUGUCGCAAGAUACCACGUAAGAAAAAAAUCCGCAUUUUUAUGUAGGGUCUUCACACUGUAAAACAGUUUUAUACGUGGACAUAGCAUUUUCAUGGAGCCCGUAAAGAAAGGGAGUUAAUUGUGUAAUUUGUGCUGAUCAGAAACUUAUAACAGUCGUCUCCCUUGAAAUAUUUGCACUUUAUGAGACACCACAAACCAUGGCGUCUCAUCAGGAUCCAAACUGUAUUCUAAAUCGUCACACUAAGCCCUCAUAAGUUAUUCAUUGUAUAUGCACUAUAUAAAACAACCAUAUAAUAUAUCUAAUAUAUCCAGACACACGUAUUAUACCCAAAUAUUAGAAAUACACAAUUUUAUAACAGUAAAAAACAAUGGUAUUUCACAAACAAUUGCAGUCGUUAAUAAAUGCAGAAAAGCAUCAUCUACACGUUUCAUACGGUAUUCAGUUUAUAUGCAAACGCAUUUAAAUAUAUUUACCUCGAUACUCGACCAAGCUGUUGAAAAAUUAUAUUAAUUAGAACGAGAACAAGUAAGAUUAAUGUGUUGUUUUCACAUUUCUUUAAAUGGCUGCCAAUACCGCAUGUAAUAAAACAAUCGAAGCGCAUGCGCAUAAUAUAUGUUACACUCCACUAAACUAGUUGCAGCAAAGACAUUCACAGGCGUUCAUGUCACUUAUAUUCAUGAUAUUUCCAUAUGCGAGUGUGAUUGUAAACACAAGUUUCUGAAAACAGUGCGAAAAGGGGCAUUACGCAAAGCCAAUAAAUCUGCGCAGAUUUUUGUCAAUAUUGACAAUAAACUGCAUGUUUUCUUACCGUUAGUAAUCCGACAGUCCGUUGGUCACAUUGUGCAUUAGUCCGUUUAAGUUAUUAUUGCCUUACACUUUUCAAUAUAAAUUUAUGAACUUUAAACAAAAUAAGUAACUAACUAAGUAACUAUUUAACUGACUAACACGCGCGUUUUUUUCCCAAUAUCCGAGACAUUUUACUUUCGCACCUUGCCCUCAAUGUCUGGCUUUUAAAGUUUACCGCCUUUUUGCGAAUACAAUGACGUUUACAUAUGAAUUGCCCAAUGAAAAUUUCGGCGGGAUGACGUCAGGCGCCAAAACUGGCGCGUGGUUUUUCCCGGUAUAGACCCAGUGUGUCAACGCUGUAAAUGCAUUGUGGGAAACGGACUAUUUCCAGCAUGGCGCCCGUAAAGAUUAUGAACACGGAAGUAAAAAUAGUAAUAAAUUAUUAUCAAAAACAGGCCUCAUCAAACCGGGUCAGCCAUGAUAUAUUCUUGGAUGCAGUUUGUGCUUCAAAAGGAGCUACUUUUCAUGCCAGCCUAUCGAUACUAUGUGGGAACUGGGAUUCGGGAUGCUCUCCCACUGGUAUCAUAUGCAGAUCAGUGGUCACAAGAACGUACACAACAUCAUUAAUGUCAGCAAUAUAUAUCUCCAACUUCAAACACACAGCUUGCAAAAUCGCUGAGUAUUGCACAAAAGCAGCUUCGUUACAAACUUCCAGCAACUCGAAAUCCACAAGCAGUCUCGUUCCCCACCCACUUUGACUUCGUAGCGAAGGCAUGUUUUUUUUGGGAAACCGUUAACAUCUCACAACUAAACGUAUACUACGGAGAUUGACAAGUUGAAAAAUAAAUUACUGUAAUCACUUCCAAUUUGCGCACUAAGUUAAACUCCAGUUCCAGUUUGUCUUUAUUGUUGAAAUGUUACUCUACACAUUCGCUUUGAAAAUAGAGGUUGGCGUGUUGUUGGAAGUACAUGUACAUGUCGAAUGUGUUAUUGUAAAAACUAUUGGUAUUGUGUUUUUAGUGCAGACAUUGUAUUUAAGUUUCGAUUUCUAGCAUAAAUUUAUAUAUUUUGUUAAAUAAUUUGCGUUUGAAUGUGAUUGUUUGUUGCUUACUUGCGAACUAUUUUUUAUGUGUAAAUAUGCAUAGACGCUAGUGGAUAUGUAAUCAGGUUACCAUAUUUACAACAAUAAAAUUUAACGGCUGUU